AGGCUGAAAAUAGAGAGAGCUACGGGGGCAGGGUUUGAACAGAAAACUAAAAAAAACAGGGAGAGCUACGGAGGCUGGGAACUGAAAAGAAAUCAGAAAAGAAGGAAAAACUGAGGAAAUCAGAAGAAAAGUGGAAAAGGUUUCGGCUGAAUGCAAAAACGGAGGAGGAAAGGAGCAGGGAAAACUGGGGAAAGCGUAAGAGAGCUACGGCCAAGUAAAAUGGAAACGGAGAGGAACCAGGCGGCAGGCUAGGCGACGAGCAAAACGAAAGCUAGAGGGAGAAGAGCAAAGGAGCGGCUGGGAAAGGUUGGAGCUUGCCGGAAUCUACUGCCAUCACCGACGAACUGUCACCGAGAGGAUAAGGUAAGCUAUCCCUUUCCUUCAAAUUUCAUGCUCAGACUCUUAAAACUCAAAGCAGAUUUGUUUAC
rnacentral:lncRNA from 1 species